UUCUCUUUCACUCUCAUUCGCACUUUGUUAUGGUUUGCCCUACCUCCAUUGGUUUGUUCUUCCCCACCCUUUCUUGGUGUGCUCUUCCUGGACUUCGACUGCCCUUCACUCAGCUUUCACUAUUUCUUGAACUCUUUCGUCGUUGACAUUGUCAUGGUGUUGAGGGAUUGUCAUCGAGGGUUGGCAUUGCGGUUCUCUUCGUUGACGGAGUUUGGUCGAGGUUUCUUGGUUUUGGGGUUUCGAUUAGGGGCACAUAACAUGUAGAAGGUUCCAACAUAGUGGGUUAAAUCUUGUGAAUGGUUACAAAAGUUCCAUUGUUGAAGGGCUGGAAUUGAAGUCAAUUGUCCAAAAUUUUAUCAUUGCAUUGAGGUGGGAGGUUCCUCUUCCUCAUGUAUUGAGAGCAAUUUAUAUGCACAGAGAGGGGACUGAUCCGCGAUUUAUUAAAUUGGAGCCGGUAUUUAAAUGCUCAAUGUUGAGGCGCCGAGAUUUACAAAGCAUUCCACUCACAGUGGAGUGGUCAGUUACAUCCCCGCAUGACUAUUUACUUGCUGGCUGCCAUGAUGGAACGAUACAAUGCCUCUGCUUUGUUUUGGUGGAGAUACAGUUCCAAUUUGAACGGUUGCCUGGGCUCCUUUUGAUUGGGAUCCAGAGAUUUCUAAUAUAGUAGUAACUGCUGGACAUGAAGGUCUGAAGUUUUGGGACCUGCGUAAUCCAUUUCGUCCUUUGAGGAGCCUCCAUCCUGCACCGAGAAUUAUAUAUAGUUUGGAUUGGCUGUCAAAGCCAAGUU